rnacentral:rRNA from 1 species
AUUGAACGCUGGCGGCGUGCCUAACACAUGCAAGUCGAGCGGUAACAGGUGUAGCAAUACAUGCUGACGAGCGGCGGACGGGUGAGUAACGCUUGGGAAUCUGCCUGUUAGUGGGGGACAACCCGGGGAAACUCGGGCUAAUACCGCAUACGCACUACGGUGGAAAGCCGGGGACCGCAAGGCCUGGCGCUAACAGAUGAGCCCAAGUCGGAUUAGCUAGUUGGUAGGGAACGGCCUACCAAGGCGACGAUCCGUAACUGGUCUGAGAGGACGACCAGUCACACCGGAACUGAGAC